GAGAGCUCAGGUGUGGUGCUUUAUAGUUUGUUUGGUGUCUCUUGAGUUGAAGUAUUCAGGCUAGAUGUUACCCCACACUAUGCGACUCUUCAAUUCCACCUGGGGGGUAAAAGCACUCGGCACUUUUUGCACCAUCCGAUUGCUC